rnacentral:rRNA from 1 species
UACGUAGGGUGCAAGCGUUGUCCGGAAUUAUUGGGCGUAAAGGGCUCGUAGGCGGUCCGUCACGUCGGGAGUGAAAUCCUGGGGCUUAACCCCAGAACUGCUUCCGAUACGGGCAGACUAGAGGUAGGUAGGGGAGAAUGGAAUUCCUGGUGUAGCGGUGGAAUGCGCAGAUAUCAGGAGGAACACCAGUGGCGAAGGCGGUUCUCUGGGCCUUACCUGACGCUGAGGAGCGAAAGCGUGGGGAGCGAACAGG